rnacentral:rRNA from 1 species
CAGCCGCCGCGGGAAUACGAAGGGGGCUAGCGUUGUUCGGAAUCACUGGGCGUAAAGGGUGCGUAGGCGGAUUCUUAAGUCUGAUGUGAAAGCCCCCGGCUCAACCGGGGAGGGUCAUUGGAAACUGGGAAACUUGAGUGCAGAAGAGGAGAGUGGAAUUCCACGUGUAGCGGUGAAAUGCGUAGAGAUGUGGAGGAACACCAGUGGCGAAGGCGACUCUCUGGUCUGUAACUGACGCUGAGGAGCGAAAGCGUGGGGAGCAAACAGGAUUAGAUACCCCGGUAGUCCCUGUCUCUUAUAC